UACGAAGGGGGCUAGCGUUGCUCGGAAUCACUGGGCGUAAAGCGCACGUAGGCGGAUUGUUAAGUCAGGGGUGAAAUCCUGGAGCUCAACUCCAGAACUGCCUUUGAUACUGGCGAUCUCGAGUCCGGGAGAGGUGAGUGGAACUGCGAGUGUAGAGGUGAAAUUCGUAGAUAUUCGCAAGAACACCAGUGGCGAAGGCGGCUCACUGGCCCGGUACUGACGCUGAGGUGCGAAAGCGUGGGGCGCAAACAGG
rnacentral:rRNA from 1 species